GGGGUUGUUUGGCUUAGACAGCAGGUAGAGGCUGUAUGUAAGCACGCAGUGCGUUGUCGGAUAGCACUUUAAUCAUAGACGGCAAACAAUUAACUGGCGAACAUAACUACGCUCUCGCUGCCUAAACUGAAGUUUAGUAAGUCAGGCUUAAUUCGGGUGCAGGGCAUCUGAACGAGACGUCUCCCAAACGCCGUGGCAUCGAGGCAGUUUGAUACGGAGGCGCAGCAAAAUCGGUGAUAGUCGGAAGUUGCCUCAAAUUUCCGAUGAAAUUUUAGAGGAUAAGGCGCAGGCUGGUAUCUUCGGUCUUGCCGGCGCACGAAAAAUUAAGCGAAGAUAAGCGUGUAGAAAGCAUAUCGUUUCCUUGUUUGGACGAGGGUUCGACUCCCUCCAACUCCACUC
rnacentral:tmRNA from 1 species